rnacentral:rRNA from 1 species
UAGUCCACGCCGUAAACGAUGGACACUAGUUGUUGGGCAUAAGUUCAGUGACUAAGCGAAAGUGAUAAGUGUCCCACCUGGGGAGUACGGUCGCAAGAUUGAAACUCAAAGGAAUUGACGGGGGCCCGCACAAGCGGUGGAGCAUGUGGUUUAAUUCGAUGAUACGCGAGGAACCUUACCAGGGCUUAAAUGUAGAUUGACAGGACUAGAGAUAGUUUUUUCUUCGGACAAUUUACAAGGUGCUGCAUGGUUGUCGUCAGCUCGUGCCGUGAGGUGUCAGGUUAAGUCCUAUAACGAGCGCAACCCCUAUUUUUAGUUGCUAACAGGUUAAGCUGAGGACUCUAGAGAGACUGCCGGUGCAAACCGCGAGGAAGGUGGGGAUGACGUCAAAUCAUCACGGCCCUUACGUCCUGGGCUACACACGUGCUACAAUGGCAAUGACAGAGGGCAGCUACCUGGCGACAGGAUGCGAAUCUUUAAACAUUGUCACAGUUCGGAUUGGAGU